GAGUUUGAUCCUGGCUCAGGACGAACGCUGGCGGCGUGCUUAACACAAGCAAGUCGAGCGGAGAUAAAAUUAGUUUACUAAAUUUAUCUUAGCGGCGGACGGGUGAGUAACACGUGGGCAACCUGCCUCAAACAGUGGAAUAGCCAUCCGAAAGGAUGAUUAAUACCGCAUAAGACCACAGCACCGCAUGGUGCAGGGGUCAAAGGAGCAAUCCGGUUUGAGAUGGGCCCGCGUCCCAUUAGCUAGUUGGUGAGGUAGAGGCUCACCAAGGCGACGAUGGGUAGCCGAUCUGAGAGGAUGACCGGCCACAUUGGAACUGAGACACGGUCCAGACUCCUACGGGAGGCAGCAGUGGGGAAUAUUGCGCAAUGGGGGAAACCCUGACGCAGCAACGCCGCGUGAGCGAUGAAGGCCUUCGGGUCGUAAAGCUCUGUCUUUGCUGACGAUAAUGACGGUAAGCAAGGAGGAAGCCACGGCUAACUACGUGCCAGCAGCCGCGGUAAUACGUAGGUGGCGAGCGUUGUCCGGAAUUACUGGGCGUAAAGGGUGCGUAGGCGGUUGUUUAAGUCAGAUGUGAAAUUCCGGGGCUCAACCCCGGAACUGCAUUUGAAACUGGAUAACUAGAGUGCAGGAGAGGAAAGCGGAAUUCCUAGUGUAGCGGUGAAAUGCGUAGAUAUUAGGAAGAACACCAGUGGCGAAGGCGGCUUUCUGGACUGUAACUGACGCUGAGGCACGAAAGCGUGGGGAGCAAACAGGAUUAGAUACCCUGGUAGUCCACGCUGUAAACGAUGAGUGCUAGGUGUAGGGGGGUAUCGACUCCCUCUGUGCCGCAGUAAACGCAAUAAGCACUCCGCCUGGGGAGUACGGUCGCAAGACUAAAA
rnacentral:rRNA from 1 species